rnacentral:rRNA from 1 species
AUUGAACGCUGGCGGCAGGCCUAACACAUGCAAGUCGAGCGCGCGGCGGACGGGUGAGUAAUGUCUGGGAAACUGCCUGAUGGAGGGGGGUAACUCCUGGAAACGGUAGCUAAUAUCGCAUACCAUCACGUGUGCCCCCAUGGGAUUGGCUAGUAGGUGGGGUAACGGCUCACCUAGGCGACGAUCCCUAGCUGGUCUGAGAGGAUGACCAGCCACACUGGAACUGAGACACGGUCCAGACUCCUACGGGAGGCAGCAGUGGGGAAUAUUGCACAAUGGGCGCAAGCCUGAUGCAGCCAUGCCGCGUGUGUGAAGAAGGCCUUCGGGUUGUAAAGCACUUUCAGCGGGGAGGCGUUACCCGCAGAAGAAGCACCGGCUAACUCCGUGCCAGCAGCCGCGGUAAUAC